AUUGAACGCUGGCGGCAUGCCUUACACAUGCAAGUCGAACGGUAGCGGGCCUUCGGGUGCCGACGAGUGGCGAACGGGUGAGUAAUGUAUCGGAACGUACCAUUGAGUGGGGGAUAACGUAGCGAAAGUUACGCUAAUACCGCAUAUUCUCUCCGGAGGAAAGCAGGGGACCGCAAGGCCUUGCGCUCUUUGAGCGGCCGAUAUCAGAUUAGCUAGUUGGUGAGGUAAAGGCUCACCAAGGCGACGAUCUGUAGCGGGUCUGAGAGGAUGAUCCGCCACACUGGAACUGAGACACGGUCCAGACUCCUACGGGAGGCAGCAGUGGGGAAUAUUGGACAAUGGGCGCAAGCCUGAUCCAGCAAUGCCGCGUGAGUGAUGAAGGCCUCAGGGUUGUAAAGCUCUUUUACCAGGGAUGAUAAUGACAGUACCUGGAGAAUAAGCUCCGGCUAACUCCGUGCCAGCAGCCGCGGUAAUGU
rnacentral:rRNA from 1 species